rnacentral:misc_RNA from 1 species
AACGCACCUUGCACCCUUUGGCAUUCUGAAGGGUAUGCUCGUUUGAGUGUCAUUGUACUCUCACACUUCCGAUCUUUGUAUUGGGAGCGGUGGACUUGGGUUUGCUGCUUCACCGCGGCUUACCUCAAAUACGGUAGUGCAACUCUUGGUUGGACGUAAUACGGCGUGAUAAGUGGUUCUUCGCCGGUGCCUCGCAAAGAGGGUGGCCGAUCGGGAGGUUGUGCUCCAAACCGUCUUCGGACAAUCUCUGACUACUUGACCUCAAAUCGAGUAGGACUACCCGCUGAACUUAA